rnacentral:rRNA from 1 species
UGGGGAAUAUUGCACAAUGGGCGCAAGCCUGAUGCAGCCAUGCCGCGUGUGUGAAGAAGGCCUUCGGGUUGUAAAGCACUUUCAGCGGGGAGGAAGGCGUUAAGGUUAAUAACCUUGGCGAUUGACGUUACCCGCAGAAGAAGCACCGGCUAACUCCGUGCCAGCAGCCGCGGUAAUACGGAGGGUGCAAGCGUUAAUCGGAAUUACUGGGCGUAAAGCGCACGCAGGCGGUCUGUCAAGUCGGAUGUGAAAUCCCCGGGCUCAACCUGGGAACUGCAUUGGAAACUGGGAGGGUAGAGUCUUGUAGGGGGGGGUAGAAUUCCAGGUGGAGGGGUGAAAUGGGUAGAGAUCUGGAGGAAUACCGGGGGCGAAGGGGGCGACCUGGACAAAGACUGACGCUCAGGUGCGAAAGCGUGGGGAGCAAACAGG